AGAGUUUGAUCAUGGCUCAGAUUGAACGCUGGCGGCAGGCCUAACACAUGCAAGUCGAGCGGAUGACGGGAGCUUGCUCCUUGGUCCAGCGGCGGACGGGUGAGUAAUGCCUAGGAAUCUGCCUGGUAGUGGGGGACAACGUUUCGAAAGGAACGCUAAUACCGCAUACGUCCUACGGGAGAAAGCAGGGAACCUUCGGGCCUUGCGCUAUCAGAACACCCUAGGUCGGAUUAGCUAGUUGGUGAGGUAAUGGCUCACCAAGGCGACGAUCCGUAACUGGUCUGAGAGGAUGAUCAGUCACACUGGAACUGAGACACGGUCCAGACUCCUACGGGAGGCAGCAGUGGGGAAUAUUGGACAAUGGGCGAAAGCCUGAUCCAGGCAUGCCGCGUGUGUGAAGAAGGUCUUCGGAUUGUAAAGCACUUUAAGUUGGGAGGAAGGGCAGUAAGCUAAUACCUUGCUGUUUUGACGUUACCGACAGAAUAAGCACCGGUUAACU
rnacentral:rRNA from 1 species